CCGCCCGCGGUGCGAAAAGGCUCGGCAGCCAGAAGAGAGCUGGAAUUUUUCACACGCAGCUUGAAAUAGAGCCGUGCGUGCUGAAGUUUCUCGUUGGUACAAACUGCUCUUUAGUUCUGUUCAGAAUUCUUGACGGUGCUGUAAGUUACGCAGCACUUUACUUGUGGUGAACUCAUCUGGGUCCCAUCUUAAAGGCAACAUGCCCAGGCUUUGUUGCACUGUGUGAGGUGGUACCAGAAGGAAUGAACCUGAACUCCUCUCCGCCUGCGUCUGCUCAAGUGUCACAGCCGUGCCCAGGCUCAGCGGCGGCAUCAGCGCUGACAUGAAGUAACCACAGAGAGUAUUGUAAACCAGGGAGCACCUGGCUCUGCACACUAACAUAAGAAGCUGCUCGCAUCGCUUCCCCCUCUCUAAAUCCACUGAACUCUUUUUGAGCACCCAGAUUUACCGUUGCUUUGCAAAAAGAACAACAUUUUGUCAAUGACAUCACUGGAAUGCCAAGCAUGUGCCUUUUGCUAACUUCUCACCUUUCUGUCAGAAGUCAUGCAAAUUGAGAGAUAGUUUAAUCAAUUUAUGGAAAAUUUGAGCAUCUGGAAUCUGAACUAACUGCAAUGAAUGGAAAAAUGGAACAGCUUCAACUAGAUCACUAUUGGUACUGAGGAAAGCUUUCUGAGAUCUGCCCAUGGGAAUCGACAGGAGGGAAAAAACAUCUUAGUCAACAAUUGGGGAACAUAGAAUAAUAACUCUUGAGGAGCGCAGUGUAUUUCAGGCCAUUAUUACCCUGAUACACUCCAGUGCUAUUUCAGGAAAAAAGACUGCUUCCAGCCACUUUAUUAAGACAUGGUGUAGAGAGAGGAGACUCUGGAAUGGAGUCUCUGGGGUCU